rnacentral:lncRNA from 1 species
GAGACCAGGAAUCUAAACGGCCACGUCAAAGUGCUUCAGCAAACCUGGUUGUUUCUGAUCCUUUCUUAUGACUGGAAUAGAAAAGAAUGCAUUCACUAAAUCAACGAAGUAUGCCAAAUACCUGAGGCUGUAUUAAUCUGCUCUAGCAAAUAUGCCGCAUCUGGCGCAGCAGCUGCUAUCCGGCCUAACUGGUAAGUUUGCAGUAAUCUACUGCCAUCCUUCAGGGCCCAUCUAGUUUUUGCAGGGCCACAUGGUGAGUUAAAUGAAGCUAUGAUGGGAAUUAGUACCUCUGUAUCCUUUAAAUUCAUGAGUGGCACUAAUUUCUGCCACCCCUCCUGAGAUACAAUGUUGCUUUGAUUUCCUGUGCCAUGUUUGGCUAGGGAGGGGAGACAAUUUCAGAGGCUUCCACUUGGCCUUCCGCACUAUGAUAGCUUUUACUCCACAGGCAAAGGUCCCAAAGAGUUUGUACCAACUGCCAAAUAGGUCAAUCUCAUUAUACAUUUGGGGACUGGGGAAAUGAUCACUGGGUGGGGCCACAGACCCAAUGGACCCACUCUGAGCUGGACCUUGCCAUGACCCUAUUUAUUAACUGGCCUCUCUAUGCUGCCUUUCUAACAGAGGGCCACAAUGAUGCUUCUGGUUUCUGGGUUUCAAUGUUAAUUCAACAGUCCUUGAAAUGUCUCGGUAUUCCCACUUCUCCAAAGUACAAUUACCCCAGUAAAUGACCAAAGAUACUUUGGGGAUGGACUAGGGAAAUCAUUCCCAUUUAUACUUGUUGAAGUGUAGUAGGGUCCUUCCUCCUGAGGACCUCUUCAGUCAGUGGGUUCCAGGUCUUUAAGCUGGCUCAGGUGUGGAAACUGAUUAAGGAAUUGUGACUUUAUUGGGUGAGAGCCCUUAGCCUCUUGGUCCUUUAUCCUUGAUUUUUUUCUGCUGAUACAAACUAAUAGGACCUUUGUUGGCUGCCUAUCUAUUUUGCCCCUAAGAACACCAAGUUCUAUUAACCACUUCCAUAACUGUGUGGGUUAGGUCCACACUAUAAUUUGUAACCCCCUGGCUUCUCAUAGUUGAGCACAGCCACCUGGCCUCUAUCGUUCUGGGGUCCUGUCAUCCCCAUUACUAUCAGCAAGUCAACCGCCACCUUCAGCCAUGACUUGCAGAGAGCCACCACUGAACUUUUUAGUGAUGCUCACGCCCUUUGCACCAACGCCUUCCUUAGGGCCUUGGUAAUAGUGCAUCCUCCCUCUGGGCCAUCCUUUAGAACAUAACCGUCAUAAUCUUCGAGCUGUGCAUAGUACCUCCGUUCCAUAUGCCCACUUCCCUGAGCCUUUUUAUCCCUUCCUGUCCCACCUGCCUGUCCUUGUACUUCUAGCAUUUCCAUUUCAUUCAGCAAGGGUCACUGUUUUUUUUCAUGCUUCUAGGAGCCAUGAUAGUAGUGAGUUCACACCAACUGUUGGGGUCCUUGCCAGGAUGUUAAAUCCUGUAUUUCGGGAGUGCUCCCACAUCAAUAGAAUUUUCCUAUCCAAUUUUAUGCUCUGGCCUCCUUGAUUAAGCACCCUCUGAAUCCAGUCCCAUGCAUGCUCUCCAAGCUCCUGGUGGUACAUGCUGGCUAGGUCUUGCAUCUUCUUUGGGGAAUAGUCCUUUACCUCCAUCAUCAGGCACAACACCUCCCAACUAGGUUAUGCUAUGACUUAACCCUAAUUAUAGGCCUAGUGGCCAGAAGCCUAGUUGAGGGGGUGGUGGCUGCUAGAGAAGAGGAGAACACGGUGCCUUUCAGUUAGAAGCCUCUACCCAAUCUUCAAGCAAGCAAAAGUGAUAGCUCUUAGUAGGGAGGAGUGAGCCACACUGGAGGCAUCAAAGGAGCCUGAGGAAUCAAAAUCUUCAGGAGCACCACCCAGAUGUCCUCGCCAUGUCUCAGAAUGCUAAGUUUCCUCAACCAUGGCCCUGACCUUGGCACGACAACCUGCCUUUUGGGGCAUUUAACCAUCUUUUAACCACUCUCAAGUUCUGGUCUUGGUGCUCAGCAUUCUGCUUUUCCCUGCUGAUGAGAACUUUGUGUGCAACAGAGGUGCUCUGGCUUUCACAUCUGACUUGCAAUUGCUGAUUACCCACGCUCAGCUGUUCAUUAUUCUUCUGUAACCAAUGGAGCUUGGCAAUAGCCAUCCAAUUCUGUUAUCCUUAUUGCUGUUACUUCCACCCUGUGUCUUGAAUGCCUGAUCCAUCACACCUCUACUGUUCCCUUCCACCUGGUACACCAUCCCAACUGGACCAUCACCAUGUGCCAGAGGCUGGCUGUGCCUCACCUACAACCAGCCAGGUGGUCCAUACUCCAGCUUCCAGCUUAUUGCCUGCUUUCUACCAGUUGUCACAGGUGGGGUUCUCAGGAAGCAGACACUGGGACAGAGCAUAUAAGAUGUGAAAGGAAAGGAGAGGAGGCAGGACUGGACAGAGAGAGAAGUCAAACUCCAAUAUAGGUCCAACAAAGCUUUGCCCAGCCUGCCCAGGAGCUCUGGAGUGAACACAGCAUAUUGGAAGUGCCGGGAGGUGGGCCAUAAUGGCUGAGCCUUUAUAUUCAGCCUGCCCAGGAGCUCUGGAGUGAACACAGCAUAUUGGAGGUGCCCGGAGGUGGGCCAUAAUGGCUGAGCCUUUACAUCCAGCCUUGCUCAAUCACCCAGUGUAGGCUGCCCUGGAAGGGGCAUGACCUUGGGCAAGGCUAUUCUCUGCAGCUGAAGCAGACCCCGACGGAGCUGACAACUGGAGGUUGAUAUUACGACUCCUAAUUGGACAUAUGGGCACCCAGAAUAAAAUUGUUAAGUGACUACGUUCUGACCCAUUGGUUAUAAGCAAGAAUGGUGUGUACAAAUUCCAGG